rnacentral:rRNA from 1 species
GCCUACGGGGGGCAGCAGUGGGGAAUAUUGGGCAAUGGGGGAAACCCUGACCCAGCAACGCCGCGUGAAGGAAGAAGGCCUUCGGGUUGUAAACUUCUUUUACCAGGGACGAAGAACGUGACGGUACCUGGAGAAAAAGCCACGGCUAACUACGUGCCAGCAGCCGCGGUAAUACGUAGGUGGCAAGCGUUAUCCGGAUUUACUGGGUGUAAAGGGCGUGUAGGCGGGACUGCAAGUCAGAUGUGAAAACCACGGGCUCAACCUGUGGCCUGCAUUUGAAACUGUAGUUCUUG